AUAGAUAUGUGUACAUAGCAUGGAGACCGUGUUUAAAUAUGAGUUCAUGGUUCACCACGCGGUCAUAUUAUAAUUAUUAUUUUGCGUCAUCCAUAGUAUUUUAGGUUUCGUCUGAAACCUAGAAUGUCUCUUUCGCAUUAAUUCAACCGCAUUAAACCCACUGAUCUGCCACUUAACAUCAUAUUGAACGAAACCCAACAUCUGUUUGGACUCCCAUUCUGACGGCACUCAUUCACUGCAGAGGAACCACUGGUGAGCAAGUGAUGCGAAAUCUGAUGAAGAAACAAACUAAUUUACAUCUUGGAUGGCUUCAGGACAAAACUCUGAAUUCUGAAACGCAUCCAGGUUCCAGGAAACUGAAGAGGGA